UCUCUCUCUCUCUCUAACGGCAAUUUCGAAAAUUGGAAAUUCAUUUCGUAAAUAUUCGCUGCUACACCUAUAAUUCCUACUUGCCUUAGACAGAUUCUGAAGACGAGUCGUUCCACUGUUUUCUUCCACCAGAGAGAUUCAAAUCAGAACCGAGCUUUAGCUCGCAAGAGAAUCUGGCAGUGGAUGCAGACCAAAGUUUUGAUCACAAGGAUAGCGGUGCAGCUGGCACUCCGUUGUUACAAGCCUAAAGUAUAAAGAGAAUGCCUCCUCUAGCUCAGGAGCUUUUACUUGAGAUGAAAUCUUUCUGCCUAGUAGCUCCACGCUGUCGGCUUUGAUGCUCUGCCAUACAGGUAAUAGUAAUGGAUUCCUUCUUAUGCAGGAGGAGAAAUUUUGGAGGAAAUAAUAACUGUUUCUUUUUUGCCAAGUAUUCGUAUUGUUACAGAGCUAUUUGAUGACUAUGGGAGGAUGGGGAAUUUGACGAAGAACCCAACAAGGAUCUUAACCAUUUACAUGAAGUUACUCACUGGCUUUCUCUUGAAAUGGGAAAGGAGUGUAAGGGAUAAAUAUAGCAGGCCAAGAUGGAGGGCCCAGUCCACUAGAUGGCAAGGACAAAAGCAAGAAAGGAAGAGAGAGUAAGGAAGAGACAAGGAGGGGACAAGAUAAUAGGAGAAGUGAGACAUGCAAGAGAAAAAUGACUGGAAAAAGGAUAAAAGAGAGGAAGGGGGAGUUAGACAAGCAAACGGGGACAGUGAGGUCACGUAAGGCUGAUAUUCUCUACUUCCAAGGCCUGUAAAAAGGGAUCUGAGAUCUGAGAGGGGGAUCGGCUUCUUCUUCAACAAUAGGAGGCGAGAUGCCAUUUUUAUCUGCUCUUUGCUAAAGGGGUCCCGACCCCAUUGUAUUGCAAGACAUGAGAGAGAAACCAUGAGAGGCUGUAAAUUACUUAUUUCAUAGUGGAUUUACCCUCCAAACAACUUGUGGA